rnacentral:rRNA from 1 species
AGUGAACGCUGGCGGUAGGCCUAACACAUGCAAGUCGAACGGCAGCACAGUAAGAGCUUGCUCUUACGGGUGGCGAGUGGCGGACGGGUGAGGAAUACAUCGGAAUCUACUUUUUCGUGGGGGAUAACGUAGGGAAACUUACGCUAAUACCGCAUACGACCUACGGGUGAAAGCAGGGGAUCUUCGGAACUUGCGCGAUUGAAUGAGACGAUGUCGGAUUAGCUAGUUGGCGGGGUAAAGGCCCACCAAGGCGACGAUCCGUAGCUGGUCUGAGAGGAUGAUCCGCCACACUGGAACUGAGACACGGUCCAGACUCCUACGGGAGGCAGCAGUGGGGAAUAUUGGACAAUGGGCGCAAGCCUGAUCCAGCCAUACCGCGUGGGUGAAGAAGGCCUUCGGGUUGUAAAGCCCUUUUGUUGGGAAAGAAAAGCAGCAGGUUAAUACCCCGCUGUUCUGACGGUACCCAAAGAAUAAGCACCGGCUAACUUCGUG